AGAUAGCAAAGCAGAGAAUGCUACAAAAAAUUGGCAGGAAUGGCAAAUUUAUUUACAUCCUAUUGGCUCUUUCAGUGACAAUAUUUAUAACGAUUAUUAUUGCAGUACCCUUUAUAAUUAAGAUCUAUUCUCAUCAAACUGCCAAAGGAAUGGAAGGGACCCCUCUGGAAAAAUGGACACUUCUGGAUAGGAUGGAGAGAGGUACACUUGAAAA